UAUUUUUCGGUUGAUUUGUAAUACACACGUGUUUAGAUAGGUUAGUCGUUAGUUUGUUUACAAAUUAUAACAACAGCGCAGCAGAUUGUUUUAUAACUGCGAAAACUGUACAGUACUGUUUAGUGUGAGUUCAAUAUAAUAUUAUCUCAUAAUGGCUAAUAGUGAAAAGAGUGAUGGAAAAAAGAAAAAAAGGGAAGGAUGUACGAGAUGAAAAGCAGAGAACAAAAAAGCAAAAACAAAACAGGAAUAAUCCUGUGACUAAACGCCUGUACUUGGUGACAUCCAUUGUUUUCUUCUUUAAAAAGUGGACAUUACGCGACUAAUUUUUUAUUUUCUUAAAAACAAUUUAACUCUUAUGCUUUGUUUACAUUAGUUUAUAUUAUCAAUACAUUUUUCUAUCAUUA
rnacentral:lncRNA from 1 species